ACUCUAGUCUUUCUUUUGAUUUUCCAGCUACUAGAUAUGAUUAAACCUGUAAUAAAUGGAGUGAAGCCUCUAUAUUACAUUCUCCAGGGAGUUUUUUGUGGUAAUUUAUUAAAUAAAAAGAUAAAUUCUGUUGGGCUAAUAUAUUUGUUUUAAUUGAGCUUUGAGGGUGUUGUACAUUUGAAUGACUUUUACCCAGUAGAUACUGAAAUAUGUUUUUUAAUUAUAAGUUUGGUGUACAUAUGUGGGAAACCAGCAAAGUUCCAUAUAGUAUAGUCUUGGCUUAGUGAGAUAAAAGUUAUAGAAGAGGACAUUGGAAAUCUAGCCACACUGUGGCUAAUAGGCUUGGUUCUCUGAAAUAAAAGUAUAAUUCAGGGCCAAUAAUGUGGAAGGCAUUGAGAAGCAUAUCCACCAAGGAGCAACAUUAUGGUCAUUUUGUCUUUGUUAUUACUUACUGCUUUAUUCUGAGAACAAUACAGGCAUUAAAGUUCUAGAAGCUUCACAGAUCAUUAAUCAUCAACAUAAAUUCAGUGAAUUAGAAUUCUUUCUUCAAAAGUAUGUGUCAACUUCAGAUUGCAGAUUUGCCAAAGCUUCAUGUAGAGCCCUUCUCUCUUUUAUCACGAGUAAAAGUUCAGGUUUAAAAUAGAACAACGGAUGACUAAUGCCAUUUCCAGCUGUGACUGAAUUCUCCACUGCCUGAUGCUUUUCAAAUGUAUCUGAAUCAGAAUCGAACACCCACUUUAUGCAUAGCUCCCUAAUCAGGAAGUUAUUCUUCCCAUCAAAGCAACUGGAAAGAAAAAAGAUAAAACAAUGAAGGGAGGAGAAAACACAAAAGUUCAAGAAGAGCAGAAUGUUCCGGCAAGGAGAAAAAGCUGGGAAAAGUCACCAAUGAAUGCCAGGGUUCACCACUAUCUUAGGAAUAUCAUGAAUAAAGCGUUAGAUUGGGUGUGCCCUAACUGAUGGUCACAAGCAUGAUACUAAUUAUCAGGGUGAACAAAGCAGGGGAGUAAGAGCAUCAGUAACUGUGAAACUCUAGGAGUUUGUCUUCAUUCUUUCAGUGAUAGAAUAUCUAGCAUUUGUAUUUCGUACAUCAUACACUUGAGUUAGUAUCUGUGGAAAGGAUAAAUACAUAAGGAAAAGAGAUGCAGGAAGCUGCAGAGACACUGGCCAUUUAUCUGAGAAGUGCCCAAUGAGGCAUCACCGGAUAAGCACACGUCGGGUCGUUCUCCUGCUUCAGUAAGGUCUGUGGCGUUGACAUUAUCAAUGCUAUGGAUGCCUCAAGGCUCUCAUAAAAAUACAUGGCUUCAGCAAUACGCAUGCAGUUAUCUCAGUUUAAAGCAGCCACUAAUCUCAAUUGAAUGCAGCUGUGAAUGCAAAUUGACUGAUGUUAACAGAACUGCUCUGAGAGUUCUCAAAUAAUAUGAGGGUGCAUAGUGUGGAAGGCAGUCACUAAGUUUGGUCUAAUGGAGACCACAUACGAAGAUCUAAUUCAACACCAUGAGUUACCCCCAGAAGUUAAAUAGGUCCCUAAUUCAGCCUGCUGCAUAAGGUUGUAUCAUAAAAGAGAAAUGGGUUCUGCUCCCUGCUUAAUAAGAAAUCCUGCUUACUUCUCCAGCUUUUGAAGCACAGAUUAUUUUUCUUCUCUUCAUCAUAUAAAAAUGGAAAUUAUCAAAACAAAACAUCAUCAAAACAAAACAUCAUCAAAAACAGGUUGCUCUCUGAGUAAAGGUUUUAUGUUUGUUUGGGAUAGAAUCUCAUUCUGUCACCCAGGCCAGAGAGCACUGACAUUAUCAUGGCUCACUGCAACCUCAAACUCCCAAGCUCAAGCGAUCCUCCCACCUCAGCCUCCCAAGUAGCUGGGACCACAGAUUCACCUGUUUGCUUCCUAAGACAGAAAAUAAAUAGGAGGAAAAGGAUCAGAGUCAAAAUUCUGAUAGGCCGCUCCAUUGGGAAGUCAAGACGGUAUCUUAAGUGCUGUAUUCCACUCGAUGCUCUAUUUUCCUGCUUGCUGCAGUAACUGUGGUUUCAUACAGAGUAUUAGAACUACCAGCAGCCUGAUGGUCUUAAGCCUGGGUGCACAGGAAGGAGGACCAGUGGCCUGUGAAGAGUCAUUAAGGGGGCUGAUGCAUAAAUAUUCAAGCCUGUGACCCACCAUUCCACCUCACACAAGCCCCCUGCUAACUGCCAGUCCUGUUGUAGUUUUCUGGAAUCCAUAUAACCUGUUAUUU
rnacentral:lncRNA from 1 species